rnacentral:rRNA from 1 species
AUUGAACGCUGGCGGCAGGCCUAACACAUGCAAGUCGAGCGGGGUUUUCGGACCUAGCGGCGGACGGGUGAGUAAUGCGUAGGAAGCUACCCGAUAGAGGGGGAUACCAGUUGGAAACGACUGUUAAUACCGCAUAAUGUCUACGGACCAAAGUGUGGGACCUUCGGGCCACAUGCUAUCGGAUGCGCCUACGUGGGAUUAGCUAGUUGGUGAGGUAAUGGCACACCAAGGCGACGAUCCCUAGCUGGUUUGAGAGGAUGAUCAGCCACACUGGAACUGAGACACGGUCCAGACUCCCACGGGAGGCAGCAGUGGGGAAUAUUGGACAAUGGGCGCAAGCCUGAUCCAGCCAUGCCGCGUGUGUGAAGAAGGCCUUCGGGUUGUAAAGCACUUUCAGUGGGGAGGAAGAGUUGUGUGUUAAUAGUACACAGCGUUGACGUUACCUACAGAAGAAGCACCGGCUAACUCUGUGCCAGCAGCCGCGGUAA